GAACGCCCCGCUCACAGAGCCAGUAUAAGACCGGCGGCGCCUUGCAACGGGUUUGGCACAGAUUUCCGCUCUCAAGCAGGACAGAUACAAAGUAUAGACAGUAUCCCAGGGCUCCUCAGAAUCUUUGCUUCUUGUGCGAUUAAACGAAGAUGAAGGUCUAUAAUGGUUAUACCACAAGAAACCCCCAAAGGAAUACACCUGUUUUCCUUCCCGUUACUGUGACACCAGAAGCCAUAUCAUGCGGAGUAUACAUCUAAUUGAUAAACCCGGAGGGUAUGACGGGUCACCAUAACAUUACUACAGAUCACAUCACGGGGAGACAAACUUCAAGGUUCAUAUCUCAGAAAGGAUCUGAGUCCUGAGGCUGCUCCUCCUUCUAAGUCCUGAGGCUGCUCCUCCCUCUGAGUCCUGAGGCUGCUCCUCCCUCUGAGUCCUGAGGCUGCUCCUCCCUCUGAGUCCUGAGGCUGCUCCUCCCUCUGAGUCCUGAGGCUGCUCCUCCUUCUGAGUCCUGAGGAUGCUCCUCCCUCUGAGUCCUGAGGCUGCUCCUCCCUCUGAGUCCUGAGGCUGCUCCUCCCUCUGAGUCCUGAGGCUGCUCCUCCCUCUGAGUCCUGAGGCUGCUCCUCCUUCUGAGUCCUGAGGCUGCUCCUCCUUCUGAGUCCUGAGGCUGCUCCUCCUUCUGAGUCCUGAGUCUGCUCCUCCCUCUGAGUCCCGAGUCUGCUCCUCCCUCUGAGUCCCGAGUCUGCUCCUCCCUCUGAGUUCCGAGGCUGCUCCUCUCUCUGAGUCCUGAGGCUACUCCUCCCUGCUCCCAAGCCCUCCCCAGGUGCAGUGAUGAUGAUGACGAUGAGGGGUCUUACCUGAUGAAGGGUCUGGAGAUGGCCAGGACUGUACGGAUGAACCAGGAUGGGUGAGCAAUGACCAGCCACUUCAGAUUCUUCUUCAACCUGCAAAGGACAUUAAAAUACCAUUUACAUUAACUUUAUGUUCAUACAGCAUAGGUUACACAUGUAUAAGCACAUUAUAAUCACGACAUUACACAUCUAUAAGCACAAUAUAAACAUGACAUUACACAUCUAUAAACACAUCAUAAACAAGACAUUACACAUCUAUAAGCACAUUAUAAACAUGACAUUACACAUCUAUAAACACAUCAUCAACAUGACGUUACACAUCAAUAAGCACAUUAUAAUCAUGACAUAACACAUCGAUUAUAAUCAUGACAUAACACAUCUAUAAACACAUCAUAAACAUGACAUUACACAUCUAUAAACACAUCAUAAACAUGCCAUUACACAUCUAUAAGCACAUUAUAAUCAUGCCAUUACACAUCUAUAAAAACAUUAUAAUCAUGACAUUACACAUCUAUAAACACACCAUAAAUUAAAUUAACCUAACACAACAUUUAAAGGUGCAUUCCGUAAAUUAUAAUUUACCUCCUGUUGAUGGUGUGGUAGCACCUCU